UACGUAGGGUGCGAGCGUUGUCCGGAAUUAUUGGGCGUAAAGAGCUCGUAGGCGGCUUGUUGCGUCUGCCGUGAAAAUUCACAGCUUAACUGUGGACGUGCGGUGGAUACGGGCAGGCUUGAGUUCGGUAGGGGAGACUGGAAUUCCUGGUGUAGCGGUGAAAUGCGCAGAUAUCAGGAAGAACACCAGUGGCGAAAGGCGGCUC
rnacentral:rRNA from 1 species